GUCGGAUACGGUGACAUUUACCCCACGACCCCGUUGGGCAAGGUCAUCGGCUCAGUUUGCUGUAUCUGCGGCGUGUUGGUAAUUGCGUUACCCAUCCCCAUUAUCGUCAACAAU
rfam:Papilio machaon contig68485, whole genome shotgun sequence.